GUUAGGAAUAUUGGACAAUGGGCGCAAGCCUGAUCCAGCCAUGCCGCGUGCAGGAAGACGCAUCUAUGGUGUGUAAACUGCUUUUGUACGGGAAGAAACACUCCCUCGUGAGGGAGCUUGACGGUACCGUAAGAAUAAGGAUCGGCUAACUCCGUGCCAGCAGCCGCGGUAAUACGGAGGAUCCAAGCGUUAUCCGGAAUCAUUGGGUUUAAAGGGUCCGUAGGCGGUUUAAUAAGUCAGUGGUGAAAGCCCAUCGCUCAACGAUGGAACGGCCAUUGAUACUGUUAGACUUGAAUUACAAGGAAGUAACUAGAAUAUGUAGUGUAGCGGUGAAAUGCUUAGAUAUUACAUGGAAUACCAAUUGCGAAGGCAGGUUACUACUUGUGGAUUGACGCUGAUGGACGAAAGCGUGGGGAGCGAACAGGAUUAGAUACCCCAGUAGUCC
rnacentral:rRNA from 1 species